rfam:Nematostella vectensis strain CH2 x CH6 NEMVEscaffold_239_Cont20323, whole genome shotgun sequence.
ACGGGGAUGGCCGAGUGGUUAAGGCGUUGGACUCAAGUUCAAAUGUACGCAUGUACGCGUGGGUUCGAACCCCACUCCUGGUA